GAUGAACGCUAGCGGCAGGCCUAACACAUGCAAGUCGAGGGGGAGGUUACUUUCGGGUAACUGAGACCGGCGUACGGGUGCGUAACGCGUAUACAAUCUGCCUUUCACUGGGGGAUAGCCCGAAGAAAUUUGGAUUAAUACCCCAUAGUAUAGUAAUACGGCAUCGUGAUGCUAUUAAAGCUUAGGUGGUGAAAGAUGAGUAUGCGUUCUAUUAGCUAGUUGGAGAGGUAACGGCUCCCCAAGGCGAUGAUAGAUAGGGGUUCUGAGAGGGAUGUCCCCCCAACUGGUACUGAGAUACGGACCAGACUCCUACGGGAGGCAGCAGUGAGGAAUAUUGGACAAUGGUCGGAAGACUGAUCCAGCCAUGCCGCGUGCAGGAUGAAGAUCUUAUGGAUUGUAAACUGCUUUUGUAAGAGAAGAAUAAGGGCUACGCGUAGUUUGAUGACGGUACCUUACGAAUAAGCAUCGGCUAACUCCGUG
rnacentral:rRNA from 1 species